rnacentral:rRNA from 1 species
CCUACGGGGGGCAGCAGUGAGGAAUAUUGGUCAAUGGGCUUACGCCUGAACCAGCCAAGUCGCGUGAGGGAAGACUGCCCUAUGGGUUGUAAACCUCUUUUGUCAGGGAGCAACGCCGGCUACGUGUAGCCGGACUGAGAGUACCUGAAGAAAAAGCAUCGGCUAACUCCGUGCCAGCAGCGGCGGUAAUACGGAGGAUGCAAGCGUUAUCCGGAUUUAUGGGGUUUAAAGGGUGCGUAGGCGGAAUGCCAAGUCAGCGGUAAAAUCGCGGGGCUCAACCUCGCUCCGACGUUGAAACUGGCGUUCUUGAGUGGGCGAGAAGUAUGCGGAAUGCGUGGUGUAGCGGUGAAAUGCAUAGAUAUCACGCAGAACUCCGAUUGCGAAGGCAGCAUACCGGCGCCCAACUGACGCUGAAGCACGAAAGCGUGGGUAUCGAACAGGAUUAGAUACCCCUGUAGUC